UACAGAGGGGGCAAGCGUUGUUCGGAAUUACUGGGCGUAAAGGGCGCGUAGGCGGCCUUCUAAGUCGAACGUGAAAUCCCCGGGCUCAACCCGGGAACUGCGUCCGAUACUGGAAGGCUUGAAUCCGGGAGAGGGAUGUGGAAUUCCAGGUGUAGCGGUGAAAUGCGUAGAUAUCAGGAGGAAUACCGAUGGCGAAGGCAGGUCUCUGGGCUGACACUGACGCUCAUGCACGAAAGCGUGGGGAGCAAACAGG
rnacentral:rRNA from 1 species